GAUGUUAAACAACAAUGUGCAGUGUAUGCGGAAAACAUAAAAUUUGCAUAGUUCAUUUCGAAUAAGUGUUUUAAGAUGCAAAUAUAGCUGAAAUUAUUCAGAAUGAUUGAGCGAUCACUUCCUAUAACCGCACCUACAUUUUUGUGAAGAAUUUUUAAGCUUAUUCUAUGUGUUUGGGCAGUAGGCCAAUCACGCUUAGUUCCGACCGAAAACCAACGAAAAAUUCAGAUUGUGAAGUUUUCUUAGGUUUCAUUACCAACCGACUAGUAGGCGAGUGUUUCCCUACUAGGAUAGCAACAAUAAAUCACUAAGGAAAAUCAACAAGUGAAGAUUAAGUUCAUUUCAGUUUUGCCUUUUGUCGAAUAAAGUCCACUUUUGUAAAACAAUUUUUUGAAAGUUCAACAAUCAAGAAGCCCCGGUCCAGCCAGCAAGCGGUCCAGAAUUCAUCAUCGAGUCAUUGGCGUCAAAUAUCAAGGAGUUUUGUUACGAUUCCGAAAACGGUUUGGUAUUCGAUCGAUGGUUGCAGAAGUACGAGGACCUAUCCUUGAAAGACGGAGAAAAUCUGGAUGCAGAAAUUCGCCUGCUGUUGAGGAGCCUCAGCAUUAACGUUCACGAAAAGUGUGUGAAUUUCUGUCUGCCAAACCAUCCACGUGAGUUUUCUUUCGCCGAUAUCGUCACUAAGUUGAAACAGUUGUUUGGUGUUCGAAUUUCCAUUUUCAAUAAGCAAUAUUAAUGUUUUCAACUUACGAAGAACGGAGAAGAUGAUUACGUUACCUACGCUGGAAUCGUGAAUAAACGCCAAAUUUGGCGCGAGACCUUAGUCCUAGGAUCAUUUUUAGCCUAGCCUUUUCGUCAUUUAUGAUAUUCUCAUGGACAUUGUUUCUUAAAAAUUUUAAGCGGCUUUAUCGGUGAGUAUUAUUAUAGAUUUGAAAUAAUAGAUGGAUAGACCGUAGGAAGAAAGUUACUAAGGUGUUGAAAAGAGCGAUGAGCAUUUUGUUUAGAGGCUUGACCACAUACUGGAAUUUUUGUCCCUCACCAAUCAGCCGGCACUUCGUUUUGCGAUGCAGUUGACUAAUCUGGAAACACAUAGCUGGUACGAUUGCUUAAGGCAAAAAAAGUGAUUCACUGCUGUUUCCGGGUGAUACCUCCAUACCAGAUUCUGGCGAGCCGGUUAAGUGCAGUAGAUCGGUGAGUCGAAAAUUAAAAUCGGAUCCAAGAAGAAAACGGAACAAAUUCCCAUUUUUCUUACGCCAACCGUACGGGAACAAAAGAACGGUCCGUAUACAAGAAGAGCACGGAAAAAAGAUUACUGCAAAGUCGAUACGCCCACCACGAGGCAUACAAAAUCACUUGGAAAAAGGAAAAGAAAGCCUAAAAAGAGCCCCUAGUGAAAAGGUUUUCGUCUUCGUAGUUUUAUGGGUCCUCUCCGCAUCUUCUCCACAACUGACAACAACACGGGUGGUUGCAUCAUCCGAAGGCCGAACGGCUACCGAAUCCGCAAGCCGAACAGGAACCGGACAGUGACCGAGUCCGUGAGCAGAACCCGCAAGCUGACCAGGAAUCGUCGUAGUGGAGCAAAAUCCGCUCAGGAGGGCGACACAAAUUUUAAACGCGCAUGGCGCAGCGUUUACCUCCAGUUUCCGGGAGCAAGAUUCUCCUCAUCAUCCAGCCAUCGAAGCGUGGGAGUCAACCGGCACUGUUCAGAGCCAACCACGCGCGAGUACCAUCGCAUGGUUUAUUGUUGACCGAAUGAGCGUUUUCGCUACACAUGCGAUGCCAUUCCGGAGAGGACAUGAUGUAAGUGCACAAUCACGACUUAUUUUCAGCAUUGCACAUGUUGAGCGGGAGGAGCAGGAGAAAAAAAGAAAGAAGAAAAACUUCUAUCUUCUCCUUUGAGCCAAUUUUCUUCUUGUGUCUUCUUAUGUCUGACGUGUCAUUUUAUGCCUUAGAUCUCAGGCCUUGGCCAGGUCUCAAGUACUCAAGUCUCAUGUCUUAUGUCUCAAGUAUAAGUUAUCAUGUCCCAGAUCCAGAUCUUAGAUUUCAGGCAUCAUGUCCAAGGUCUAAGAGGUCUUAAGUGUGAGGUAAAAGGCUCCAUGUUUCAUUUCCUAGGCCUCAAGUGUCAAAGUCUAAGGUGUAGGGUUUUAUGUCCCAAGUCCCAGGUCUCGGGUUACAUGACUAAUUGUCCCAAGUUUCACAGUUUCAGAGAAAGUGCGUUUAUUUACACGGUGUUUUGCGAUUAGCACGAAUUUUUUACACGUGUAAAUAACCUUUGGUGUACUUAUUUAAAAACGUAAAAUCGUUCGAAGAAAGUAAUUUGAGCAUCGUCUAUUCGAAAGAAGUUUAUCAGACCUAAGAGCCUAAGAAGUUUAUCAAGAACGAAGUGAGGUCAACGUUAACAUUGUUUAUUAUGUUAGAGUGAAAAAGCGAAUAGUUUAUAGGGAACUGUGAUAUACAGAGGAACAAGCAUCGGUUAUAUUUUUCAAUGGUUUUAAUAGCUACAGUAUUUUAAGAUAGUUAAGUUUAUGUAGUUCAGAAGAGCAAAUUCCUAAUCCAAAAACAAACAUUAAGAAAACGUUAAAAUAGCAUCAUACUUCAUAUGUUGUGUUCAAUGAUUUGCUUCAUUUAUCAUCCAAAUUUACCGCUAACGAGUAAUACAUAUACGAGUGUUUCUAUUAUAUGCUGCAUCUAAUCAUUUAACUGCCGUAGCCCUCGCCGUCCAGAGGGAUUUCAACGGGAAAAUUUAUUAAAACAUACUUUUAUCAUUGAAUGUGGAUGAGUUAGCUCGCAAAAGUUAAAUUUCAUAAGGUGUCCUGUUUUGUACAUACCUUGAGAAGUACAGAAAAAAACUGUGUGUUAUUUUUAGUGUCAGAGGUAAAUAAACCGACGCAUCUGUGAUUAACGUGAUCACACAAAAUUUAAAAUAAAGAGCUUGAACAAAAAAACAACUGAUAAGCGCUGUGAAGGUACCCACAGAACCCAGCUUAUCAGUCAGUCAGUUUUUGUGUAUCACUAGAAAAUGGCUUUGCUUGUUGCCCUAUUUUACUCGUGACUGUCCGGACAGCCACCAAAAAGAGUGAUCGAUAGUUUGAGCUGAGAUCAUAAUCGACGAUAUUAUGUUGUAAAUAUGUUUCACUUAACUAUGUCAUACGCGAACAUGUGCUCACAUGUGAUCGACCAUCAAUUGGUGAAAGCUGACUGUUUGGUUCAUUCAUAACUCAAAAGUUCAUAUGGAACAGGAAAAGAUCGAUAGUGAGUAACGAAAAUGUAUACUGUGAUUGUAAAUCGUACUCUCAAGAUAUGUGCAAAAUUAACCAUAAGAAAUUGUUUGUUAGAACUAUUAUGUAACUUUCUACUGGGAUAACUUGUUUAUGAAAAACAAAGUUUGUGGUUGUACGGAUGUUUAAUUUACUCUUCAACUAAGAAAUUGUUACAAGGAAACUAAAAAUUGGCUGGAAACACAGGUACAAACUUCUAUAAAAUAAAUCAUAUGUGAAAGUAUUAAUUUUUGUUUUUAUUUAGGAGUUUUAGAGUGAACCAUCCAAAAAAUGUUGUCCAUCUAUCGAAUUAUUAUUAAUUAUCUUUUGCUUCAUGAUUUUCUUUUGUUCUUCUAUCCGAAAAUUGUUUGUACUUUGACAAGUUUACACUUUACUAGUUUUGCUUCUUUUUUCAAAUAGUGGUUCACUAUGUGCGGUUAAAAAAAUGGAGCUACUGAAAAAAGUAUAAAAAACCUACAUAUAACAAAAAUAUAUUGCAAGGCAAAAAAGAUCUCCGGAAAAAUAAACGUUACCAGAAUAUGAUGUUGGUUAUGUCUUACAUGGCUAAAUGUUUCUUAAUGAGCUAAUAUCACAGAGUACAGUCAAAGAAAUAGUUCUCACUUGCGAACCCGGCAGAAAACACGUUCUGUAGCAAAACACGGAAAUGUUCCGACUGCCAGGAGAACCGCCCUAUCCCACUGAGUGUACUAGAAUACUGUUAAUGUUUGUCAGCGAAUACCCAAUCCAGAACUACGUUUUCGUUUGAUUUUACUUAUUCUGGAGUAGAGCUUUUCAAUAUCGGUAUUCACUCAAAGAGUUUGCUUUUUAUUCUAAAUUCGACCAAUAGAUAGAUCAUAUUUAGGGCUAUACGUUCUCCAAUUAACCUCGUUAUCAGAAAAGCAACUUACUGACAAACAAAAUCAGGGGCAAUUUCACCAACUGGCGACUGCAAUCUGAAAUGUAACUGACCCUAGCAUAUUUUUUCUUUUCAUUUACUUCAUAACACAUUUUGACCAUAGAAUGGUCUCAUCAAAUCAGAGAUUUCAACAUUCAAUUGUUGGAUUAUCAAUUUCACUUCAUUUGCAGUCUGGAGUACAAGCAUAUUUCUAAGUUUAUUCUAGAACAUUGAUUGAUAUCUUUGUUAAUAUAAGAGCAUUCUUAAAAAUCUAAGCAAAAAUUCUCUUCCAGUUAUUGUGUUGUUUAUAUAAUAUGCUUCUUUACCAGUUGGCUACGCAUUGCCAGCAUCGCGCACUCACUGUUACGUGAAUUCUCACACCGCAGCUCUCACCUGCCUUCACGUAACGGUGCGGUGCUGUGAGGUGUUUACGAAAAAUUGUUCAAAAUAUUUCUUAGAUAUUUUUUGCGGUAGAUAUAUUUAUUGGUUUCUUCAACUGUGUUUCUAGUUCUGCUAAUUAUCGUGAAACGAAACUUGAAAACCGUUUAUAAGACCUUACUUUUCAUUGAAGAAAAACAAAUUUGUUUGCCUAGCAUUAAGAUGAUUUUAGUAUGUAUGCAUUGUUAAAAAAAAAAAAGAAAAGUAAACCUGAUUCCUUAAGUGCUAUUUCUCUGUAGAUAGAUAAUUGUCUGUUAAGAUUUCUGUCCCGAAAGGAAGUCGAAAAGCAUCAAAGUGGAAAUUAUCGUUGCUUUCAUGAAAAUAAGGUUUGAUCUGUAUUUCGGACUGUUAAGACAUUACCACGCACCGCGUCCGUCUCGUUGUCCUUUGUAGUUUAAUAGCAUUCUUCAUCCUCCAUAGCGAAAUCGCUGUUGAAUCCAGAAUCAGCAUAAACCGAGCUGUAACGACAAACAGUCUAGAUAAGAAUCUAUUCUAGGGAGUUGUUGCUAGAACAUCCAAAUCCUAUUCAACCGAGGAAUUGAUAAAGAUUUUUAUCACUUUGAA